GCACGCGCAGACGCCUUGCCAGAAUGUUCGGCCCACUUCCCCUGCUGCAACAGUAACCACAAACCAGCGAAGCGAAGUCACGCUUUAAGCCACUUGUGCAGACCAUCCUGUCUGUGUAUCCAUUUGUGACAGACUCAUGCGGGCCAGACGGUGGAGAGAGAAAGCGGGGGGGAUAAAAUGAAAGAGACAGCCAGUCCGACAGAGAGCCAGUCUUUCCUGUGAGAGCAUCCAAACAUCCAGCGCCAAAGCUAAUGAGUGAUAUGGAGUUGAUCCAGAAUUCUGCUGACCUUAGUGAAGCAGAGACCGACCUCGGCUCGAUCUCAGGACAACGUCUCUGCUAAACCCACGCCGUUCCUCCCCAGCCUGCCUACAGUCGAUCAAUACCACUGGAGUUGAAGAUACAGGCAAGAGCUUUAAUGGAGAGCUUCAGUUCCUCACACUUCCAGUAGGAUAAUACAGGCACAUUCAGGAAGAAGAUGAUGAAGGAGAGAGGAAGAGAGAGAAGUCUAAUGAACAGCAUCAAGGCAAAAGAAGUGAGACACUUUGUGAUAUAAACAUGAAUAUUCCACAAUUGAUUGAUUAAUAAUCACAAUAAGGAAAAAUAUAGAAUUAAACUGAUAUGCAGUCGUGCGUGUGUGUGUGUGUCUGUGCGUGUGCGUGCGUGCGUGUGUGUGUCUGUGCGUGUGCCUGUGCGUGUGUGCGUGUGUGUGUGUGUGUCUGUGUGUGUGUGUGUAUUGGUGUAUUGGCUUGCUUUUUUAAUUGCUCUGAAAAUGGCUUGUCCAGUUCAAUAUAGAACUUGAUUUGAAUUUCACAUUGAAUUUGAAUCAGAUCACAAGAAAUGCAGUUUCAUUUGAGGAUAUGUUUUAUUUUUAAUUAAGUAUUUUUUAAGUUUUUUAAAUUAAGUAAUUUUUGACCACACUUGAAGAAUGAUUAAUAUACAUACAUCUUUAUUUUAACUGUCUUUCAUAAUGCACUUUACAUUUGCCAAAUGUUCAAAAUAUUUGAAAAAAAAAAAAAAAACUGAAUUUUUGGUUUUAUUUAUUUACAUUUUGACUCUUUACAAUUUUUUCAUUCAUUUGAAAGCGUCUCAUUAUCAUUUAAUCCCACUGAUCUUGGUGGUAAAUCAGUGAAUCAUAUACUUGUACAUAUAGUUUUUCAACUAGUUUGAUUAUUUGAUUGAUUGAUUUGUGAAGUCUAAAAAAUGUUUAAAAUUGGAUAAUGAAACAUAACAAAUUGUAGUUGCAAUUUUAUCUUGGAUGGUAACCUCACUGGUUUAAAAUAUUACAAUUACAAUUUGUCAAUAUAGAGCAGGAUACACUCUUAAAAAUAAAGGUUGUUUAUUGGCAUCAGUGGUUCCAUGAUAUCUUUUAACAUCCAUGGAACCUUUCCAUAAGGUUCUUUUAUAGUGAAAAAGGUUCUUCAGAUUGUUAAAUUGUUCUUUAAACUAAGAAAAAGAAUGGUUCUUUUAAGAACUGUUCACUGAAAGGUUCUCUUGGGAACCAAAAAUGGUGCUUCUCAUGGCAUGGCGCUAAAUGAAAACCCUCUUUUGGAACCUUGAUUUUUAAGAGUGUCAGUUGCUAGGGGGGAAAAAACAAUGACUUUCUAUACAAGUGUAUUAAUAAUUAUCGUCAUUUUGUGCCUUUUAUACAAGUUUUGAAAAUACAGAGAUUGAAGGAACACAAACAUCAUAUUAAAUUAGAAAAGCUACAGCUGUACUCUGGAUCAAAUCUUUCACACUUCCAGGACCUCAACACUCACCUUGAGUGAUACAUACAUAUAUAACAACUUUUGUCAUCAGUGUAACAAAUAUUGCCCCGUUUCAGUGGGGGUAGGCGUGAAAUAAGGAUGGAGGGAGGGGCAAAAAAACUUUUGACCUUUGGUGUCACAUGGAGUGUCUUGUUGAGCUGACAGUGAGGUGCCAGUGUAACCUUGAGUCUCUGAUUACUUUUAAACACCAAGCUGGUUUUAGAUUGGUUGUGCUAAAAACAUAUUUGUGCGUUCAAAUGCUCCUACACUGUAGUUCAGCACAAGAUGCAAUUACAUGUGAGUGUAUAUGUGGUUGAAGGUCAAAGGCUGUUCGUGUGCCCUCGCUAUGAACUUUUGUGAUGGACAAGUAAUGAUGUAUACACGAUUUUAAGAAGAGCACAUACGUGGACUGAAGCCAGGUCUUGUCUGAGAUUGGGUUUCCAUCCUGUCUUCAGGUCAUCACUAUCUCAUAUACAAAAAUACACUCCUACAUACUGGAUGUCAGAGCAUCUGAAAAUGAGAAGUCCCCCUCACACAGACACUAUCCUUGCUCAUCAGUCUCCGGUUUGGUUUAAAUGUUCCACGUGUCCGUCCUGUCUGCACCAUCUCAUCCAGACCUCUGAUCUGUGGACCUACACACACCUGUGCAGAGACACACAAAAAUAAUCUUAAGUCUCCACCACCUCUUGAACCCCCUGCUCUGAUUUCUGACAGCUCUGAAGAGUCGCACAUGUCUUGGAUGAAAGGAAGGCCUCAGUGAGUCUUGAAAUCGCUCAAGAAUACUGGAAUGUGCACAAACAUUAAAGGAAACGGAAGUUUCAAUAGUCUUUUCUCCCCUAUUGUGAUAUAUAUCCGAGUGAAACGGUUUCUCAAACAAUACAAAAUUUUGAGUGGGACUUGAUUUUGUCCAUUGGGAGUUGAUUGGAUGGUUGUGGUAUGCUAUUUGCUGUGAUGUUGUGUGAGUGACAGGUUUUCCCACCCUCACGUCUGUAAACAUCAUCAGAGAAGAGAAGGGAUGAUGCUGCAAGAGGGAGGGGAAGUUUUUUGAUUAAAGAUUUUGAGGGCACAUUAAUUUUAAAGCUGCAGUCCGCAAGUUUUGCCUAUUUGUCGCCAUCUCUGUUUGAAACCUGCAAUUGCAGUUAUUUGCAGAAUUAACAUCUUUUCGUGGGUUGUGCACCAGCACGACGACUCAACGCGGAUGAAUCUAAUGUCUGCUGUCAGUCACCGCACCGGUGUGGAUAAUGUACUUCAGAAUCACAGAUUGUAGUCUUGGAAGUAUGAGCAAAAUAAGAAUUUUCACCGGAAA